rnacentral:rRNA from 1 species
GACGAACGCUGGCGGCGUGCUUAACACAUGCAAGUCGAACGGAAAGGCCCUGCUUGCAGGGUACUCGAGUGGCGAACGGGUGAGUAACACGUGGGUGAUCUGCCCUGCACUUCGGGAUAAGCCUGGGAAACUGGGUCUAAUACCGGAUAGGAGCCAUUUUUAGUGUGAUGGUUGGAAAGUUUUUUCUGUGUAGGAUGAGCUCGCGGCCUAUCAGCUUGUUGGUGGGGUAAUGGCCUACCAAGGCGGCGACGGGUAGCCGGCCUGAGAGGGUGGACGGCCACAUUGGGACUGAGAGACGGCCCAGACGCCUACGGGAGGCAGCAGUGGGGAAGAUUGCACAAUGGGCGCAAGCCUGAUGCAGCGACGCCGCGUGGGGGAUGACGGCCUUCGGGUUGUAAACUCCUUUCGCUAGGGACGAAGCUUUUUGUGACGGUACCUAGAUAAGAAGCACCGGCUAACUACGUG